CAAUUUCCACAGAAAGGGGAAACCCACACCCAAAUGGUAGGGAGGGCCCAGGAGCCAGAAUUCAAGUGAAUAGUUUCCUGAGUGGUCAGCAGCGUCAGGUGAUUUGGGGAACAGAUAAGCCCCUGGUACUUGGUAGCACUGCAUUCUGAAACAGUGGAUAAUACCAUAUUCAGUCCCCCUGACAACCCCCUGAAACAGAAAGAUGAAUACCUUGGAGCUACCUGUAUUGAGAAACCUCAGUUGUCUCCCUGGAAAGCAAUGACUUUUAAAUUCUCAAGUAUUCAUUUUCAGAGUGGGAAGACAAUCUCCGCAUGUCAUAUUUCAAGCUGCAAGCUAUUUACAGCCUUCACUUCAUCCAGUAUGCUGAAAUUCUACCAUCUAAGGCAUUAAAACCUCCUAGAUGAAGUCGUAUAUGAAAAAAUAAAGGGUGU
rnacentral:lncRNA from 1 species